CCCUUAGAUGUUCUGGGCCGCACGCGUGCUACACUGAUGCAUUCAACGAGUCUAAAACCUGGUCUGAUAGGGCUGGGUAAUCUUUUGAAUGUGCAUCGUGAUUGGGAUAGAUGAUUGCAAUUUUUCAUCUUCAACGAGGAAUGCCUAGUAAACGCAAGUCAUCAGCUUGCAUUGAUUACGUCCCUGCCCUUUGUACACACCGCCCGUCGCUCCUACCGAUUGAAUGAUCCGAUGAAUAUCAUAGACUGAGAGUAUAAGCAGGUUCGCCUGUCUUUGCUUCUCGGGAAGUGAAGUAAAUCUUAUCAUUUAGAGGAAGGAGAAGUCGUAACA
rnacentral:rRNA from 1 species